rnacentral:piRNA from 1 species
UGACCUGCUGGAAGUGCUAUCAUUCA